ensembl:lncRNA
CUCACAUCCCUCCAUGGCUUCUGCUGUGUUCCUGGAUUGUGGGUUUCCCCACCAAGCCUUCUACUGCUUGUCAGCUUCAGCCUCUUGGACUCAACCGAUUUUGCUGUCCUGGAUUUUUCUCUUGUGGACUCUGUUCAACUCCUGUCUGUUUUUGGAUGCUCCCUGGUCUUCAGUCUGCCAGUUUUGUUUCCCCACUAGCUUCUGGGUUCUCCUAGCCUGCCUAGCCUUUAGCUCUGUUUUCCCCUGGUUUUUGUAAGUACAUUGCUGUGUUGUUUGGUUGAGGUUAUUCCUGUUUGGUUUUGUGGUUUUUGUAGGUUUGGUAGUGUAGUUUGUUUUAGUGUUAGUUGUGGUUUAGUUUGUCUGCUGGAGUCCGUUUCACGAAGUGGGUUCAACAAACUGUUGUUGGUUAAAUCAAGUCGGAGUAGUUUCCCCCGGAAUUAAGCACGUGCGCCACAGGUCUGAAAAGCCAGUAUCAAUGGAGCGCCGAUUCGACGAGUCACCGUGGCAACGGGUAAACAGAGGACGACACCGUUUGAAUUGGAAAUCUUAAUGCGCUUAUAUAGCGAGUUUGAACACGUUUUUAGAAAGAAGUGCAACACCGCUGCAAACGAGAGGGAAAUGGUGUGGGAGAGCAUUGCUGCCCGAGUCAAUGUGUAAGUUGAAACCACAAUAAUAUUGCAGGAGAAAAGUGUUUAAUGGUAACCUGUUAUUUCAUUUAGGUGCAAGAGGGAGAUGGCCUGGGAGAGCAUUGCUGCCCGAGUCAAUGUGUGCAAUCCUGUGAGGGAGAAGUGCAUGUGGCAAACAGUCAGGACUGCCUUCCGGUAGAGAUCACCCGACCCCCCUGGAUGUGGACUCACCCGGUUCAUCUUCUACCUUCACCUCAGCCAUCCUUCGCCCAGCUCCGGCUUAACCCUCACCAGUCGUCUCCGCAGCCGAGGCGAUUCCACAAGCAUCUACUCUGCGCGAUUCAAAGUAAUAGAAGAGUCGGAGAAAGCUGAGAGUGGCGAGUCGGAACACUCAGGAGACACACAGGAGAGUUUGGGAGGCGAUACAGCAGUAUCAAGUCGAAGACAAGAGGAUAUGAACGAGACGACAUAUGAGGGUGGCUCUCUUAUGAGACUUCAUGGGAUUUACCUGAAGCAGCAGCACAUGAGCCUGCAGUGGCACAAGGUGUAGAGGAGGAGGACAGAUGUACAGGAUGCGCUUGAUACACUACGUGUCAUGCAGAAGUUAAAAGUUAUUCUCCUCGCUAUACUUCUGUUUUUCUGUCCCCAGACCGCUAUUGUUUUCUUUAAUACAAUUCUGACAAUAAACUUUUGUACCUUUUGCAGAUGUGUCUAUGCUAUUGUUUUAUUUGUGAAGGUUAGCAAGAUUACGUGACAAAUUAAACACCAAAACAUUCAAACAGCUGUUUUAAGAAUAUUCCAGUUUGAUAAAUCAGUAUUGCUUUGGUGUAAUUCAGUCAACGGAAUUAUGAACCAUAAAGGAGUUUGUGUUAAAACAUGUUAAAUCCCAUUAAACAUAAAUGCAUUAUUAGGGAAUACAGAAUUGUUUGGUUCAGACUGUUGACUCUUUUCCUACCAGUGUCUUAACAGACAAAAUGAGAAGUUAUGAUGCAAUCACAUAAGUCACAAAAUAGUUUAUUAGUCAGCAGCAAAAUCUAAACUGUUUACAAUGUGCAAAGUACAAACUGUGGUGGGCCUCUCCUACAGUAGAGGGCUAAAAGUAAAAUUACAUACAACUACAGUUGCUGGUCAUAUAAUUAGAAUAUCAUGCCAAAGUUUAUUUUUUUCAGUAAUUCCAUUCACCAAGUGAAACUUGUAUAUUCUAUUCAUUCGUGAC